rnacentral:rRNA from 1 species
UACGGAGGGUGCAAGCGUUAUCCGGAUUCACUGGGUUUAAAGGGUGCGUAGGUGGGCAGGUAAGUCAGUGGUGAAAUCUCCGGGCUUAACUCGGAACUGCCGUUGAUACUAUCUAUCUUGAAUAUCGUGGAGGUUAGCGGAAUAUGUCAUGUAGCGGUGAAAUGCUUAGAUAUGACAUAUAGACACCCAUUGCGAAGGAGCUAACUACACGAUCAUUGACACUGAGGCACGAAAGCGUGGGGAGCAAACAGG